ACAUGCCAUCCGCUUUCUGUGCCUCGCCAGUCUGGAUAAUGGCUUCAUUUCUGGGGACAAUUCUGAUCUCCACCUGCCAGAGCACAUCACAACCAAGUAUUUUCCAAAAGGGAAGAAAACUACUUGUGCAAAGACAUUCUAGUCUUCUCCAAGAUGCACCAUUUCUUACAACUCACCUCUAAUGUAACUUUUUUUUCCAUCCUCAGUAUCCCACUGUUUCUUCUUGUGCCAGACAGUGAAUAGUGGUCUACUUAUUUAUGUACCUCCACAAAUCUCUUGAAACAUUUCUCCUGUUAUCUCAUCUACUGACUUUGGUACACGUGCAUACAUAAGUUGUAACACUUAAGCUUAAAGCACAAAUUUUCAGGGACUGCUGAAAAAAAAUGGAACUGUUUUUUGUAUAGCAACCAUCAUGCUUUUUCUCUUUGCCUGAAAGGUCUGGAACUCACAGUUGAUGAGAUGAAUCUUUGACUGCUUGCAAAUCAGAGGUGCCAGAAGGUUACAAAUCCGACCAGUCACAUGUGGCUGAUGGCGCGUUCUUGAUGCUUCACAAGAUCCAAACACCUCCAGUGAAAAUGCAGUUCAGAGCCUUCCUUCCCUCAGAGCUCUCCAUGAAUACUGUAUCCAGUUCUGGUAUCCCCACCAUAAGAGGGACAUAGAUCUAUUUGAACAAGUCCAGAGGAGAGCCACGAAGAUGAUCCAAGUGCUGGAACACCUCUACUAUAGGGAACUGGGAUUGUUCAGCCUGGAGAAGAGAAGAUUCUGGAACUUCAAGGCAGUAGCUGCACAGCAGUGAGUGGAGGCACACGAAGAAGCAUGUGGUUGCCAACUUGCCAGCAGUGGAACAUCCACAGCAGAGGUAAAAGAGAUUGAAUAAAGUUAACUGGAGAUCAAUAAUUGUAACCCCACCCCUUUCAUUAUAACGUGGGUUGCUUCUUUUUCCCAUCAUUUCACUGCCUGUCCUGAAUACACAUUGCGGGGGAGAGGGGAGAGGUGGGAGAGGCGGAGGAAUUCGGGUGGUUUUACGGUCCCUGUUAGUUGAUGCUUGCUGACACACAACACCCAGAGCUGCUUGCCAAAUUUAACUCAGCAGUCUUUGCAAAGCAGCAUGGAAAUCUGUAGUAAAGAAUCAUGGAAUGGUGUAAUCCAGUUACUCAUUGGAGUUUUU